GAUGAACGCUGGCGGCGUGCCUAAUACAUGCAAGUCGAGCGAAUGGAUUAAGAGCUUGCUCUUAUGAAGUUAGCGGCGGACGGGUGAGUAACACGUGGGUAACCUGCCCAUAAGACUGGGAUAACUCCGGGAAACCGGGGCUAAUACCGGAUAACAUUUUGAACCGCAUGGUUCGAAAUUGAAAGGCGGCUUCGGCUGUAACUUAUGGAUGGACCCGCGACGCAUUAGUCAGUUGGUGAGGUAACGGCUCACCAAGGCAACGAAGCGUAGCCGACCUGAGAGGGUGAUCGGCCACACUGGGACUGAGACACGGCGCAGACUCCUACGGGAGGCAGCAGAAGGGAAUCUUCCGCAAUGGACGAAAGUCUGACGGAGCAACGCCGCGUGGGUGAUGAAGGCUUUCGGGUCGUAAAACUCUGUUGUUAGGGAAGAACAAGUGCUAGUUGAAUAAGCUGGCACCUUGACGGUACCUAACCAGAAAGCCACGGCUAACUACGUGCCAGCCGCCGCAGUAA
rnacentral:rRNA from 1 species